rnacentral:rRNA from 1 species
GUGAAAUUGUUGAAAGGGAAGCGCUUGCAGCCAGACUUGCCUGUAGUUGCUCAUCCGGGCUUUUGCCCGGUGCACUCUUCUAUGGGCAGGCCAGCAUCAGUCCUGGCGGUUGGAUAAAUGUCUGCACAAUGUACCUCUCUUCGGGGAGGACUUAUAGGGCAGGCGGCAUACAACCAGCCGGGAUUGAGGUCCGCGCAUCUGCUAGGAUGCUGGCGUAAUGGCUGUAAGCGGCCCGUCUUGAAACACGGACCAAGGAGUCUAACAUCUAUGCGAGUGUUUGGGUGUCAAGCCCGAGCGCGUAAUGAAAGUGAACGGAGGUGGGAACCCCUCGGGGUGCACCAUCGACCGAUCCUGAUGUCUUCGGAUGGAUUUGAGUAAGAGCAUAGCUGUUGGGACCCGAAAGAUGGUGAACUAUGCCUGAAUAGGGUGAGGCCAGAGGAAACUCUGGUGGAGGCUCGCAGCGGUUCUGACGUGCAAAUCGAUCGUCAAAUUUGGGCAUAGGGGCGAAAGACUAAUCGAACUAUCUAGUAGCUGGUUCCUGCCGAAGUUUCCCUCAGGAUAGCAGUAACGUUUUCAGUUUUAUGAGGUAAAGCGAAUGAUUAGAGGCCUGGGGGUUGAAACAACCUCCACCUAUUCUCAAACUUUAAAUAUGUAAGAAGUCCUUGUUACUUAAUUGAACGUGGACAUUUGAAUGUACCGUUACUAGUGGGCCAUUUUUGGUAAGCAGAACUGGCGAUGCGGGAUGAACCGAACGCGGGGUUAAGUGCCAGAAUGCACGCUCAUCAGACACCACAAAA